GCCCCCGUAGCUCAGAGGACAGAGCGUCGGUUUCCUAAACCGUGCGUCGCAGGUUCGAGUCCUGCCGGGGGCACCA
rnacentral:tRNA from 1 species